CCUACGUGAGGCAGCAGUGGGGAAUAUUGCGCAAUGGGCGAAAGCCUGACGCAGCGACGCCGCGUGAGGGAUGAAGGUCUUCGGAUCGUAAACCUCUGUCAGCAGGGAAGAACGGUCACUGUGCUAAUCAGCAGUGAAUUGACGGUACCUGCAAAGGAAGCACCGGCUAACUCCGUGCCAGCAGCCGCGGUAAUACGGAGGGUGCGAGCGUUAAUAGGAAUUACUGGGCGUAAAGCGCUCGUAGGCGGUAUGUCAAGUCAAGGGUGAAAUCCCCGCGCUCAACGUGGGAACUGCCUUUGAAACUGGCAAACUGGAGUGUGUGAGAGGAUAGUGGAAUUCAAGGUGUAGGAGUGAAAUCCGUAGAUAUCUGGAGGAACAUCAGUGGCGAAGGCGACUAUCUGGCACAUAACUGACGCUGAGGAGCGAAAGCGUGGGUAGCAAACAGGAUUAGAUACCCGGGUAGUC
rnacentral:rRNA from 1 species